AACGCUGGCGGCGUGCCUAACACAUGCAAGUCGAACGGGACUCAGCCCUUCGGGACUGAGUUUAGUGGCGAACGGGUGAGUAACGCGUGAGGAACCUGCCUUUCAGUGGGGGGACAACAGUUGGAAACGACUGCUAAUACCGCAUAAUGCUUUUUGAUGGCAUCAUUGAAAAGCCAAAGAUUUAUUGCUGAAAGAUGGCCUCGCGUCUGAUUAGCUAGUUGGUGGGGUAACGGCCCACCAAGGCGACGAUCAGUAGCCGGUCUGAGAGGAUGAACGGCCACAUUGGGACUGAGAUACGGCCCAGACUCCUACGGGAGGCAGCAGUGGGGAAUAUUGGGCAAUGGGGGAAACCCUGACCCAGCAACGCCGCGUGAAGGAAGAAGGCCUUCGGGUUGUAAACUUCUUUUACCAGGGACGAAAAAAGUGACGGUACCUGGAGAAAAAGCAACGGCUAACUACGUG
rnacentral:rRNA from 1 species